AGGAAUUUUAAGACGCUCCACGGAAAAAACAUGGCGGAUGUUUGCUGUAGCGGUUGAGUUUUAUCGCUGGUUUAUUCGCUUUAAUUUCCUUUUUGUCCCUAAAACUUUUGAUUUCCAAAGACUUUUGUUGACUUUCUUUCAACUAAUAUAAGAAAUUAGCAACUUUCAAGGGAUCUUAUACGGGAUUUUCUUCUCUAAGCCCGAAGAUUUGACUAGUCAAUUGCGAGUGGAGAAGAGAAGGCUGAGGGAGAAAGGUGAUACACCUGGAAAACUACCAAAGAAAAAAGAGCCAAGACAACCGCCCUCACGGAAAUGUCUGUUUACUGGCCCGAAAGAGCCGCAAUCGGCGUACAACGUUCCCUGGAACAGAGAGGAAGACUCGGCUUUGGUGCAGUACAUCUGCUUUCAAAAGCAUGUUCUGAUUUAAUUAACAAGCAGAACAAGUAAACUCCAGUUUUUAAUAUGUUUAGGUAUAUCCCUCCUCUAGCUGGACCAUUAAAGAAGGCAAAUCAUUAGAAAUCUUGCACACUUAGAACUUGCUCGACCAAUGGAUGAGCCAUUUUAAUGCAUUUCGUUCCUUUGUUGCAUACUGAUUCUAAAUUCCCUUUUUACCAGCCUGCCUAUUUACUUACAUAUGUUUAUAUGGUUUUUGAAAACCUGGCACAAUGACUUUGUGGACAAUCAAAAUGUUUGCUUUUGUGACCCUUUUGUGCUUUUAUUUUGCUUGAGAUUGAAUCUGAUAACAGGUCAGACCAAAAUAUGUACAGUACACACUGUACCGAGGAUUUUAUAGAAUCGAUAAAGAAGCGAGAGAUACGCUCUAUUUAUUAAAUAAACAUAAUCAUUGUCACAUUUCAGAUAAGCUUUAAAUUAAGGACACCUUGGGUAAGUUAAGGGAUUUCCCUUUCACAUCUAUUACUAUUUAUUACUAUAAAUUAUAUUUGACAGGUUUGCAAAAUAAAAGUGAUGUGGGUACACCAAGAA